GACAGCAGUCGCCGCGGUAAUACGUAGGUCCCGAGCGUUGUCCGGAUUUAUUGGGCGUAAAGCGAGCGCAGGCGGUUAGAUAAGUCUGAAGUUAAAGGCUGUGGCUUAACCAUAGUACGCUUUGGAAACUGUUUAACUUGAGUGCAAGAGGGGAGAGUGGAAUUCCAUGUGUAGCGGUGAAAUGCGUAGAUAUAUGGAGGAACACCGGUGGCGAAAGCGGCUCUCUGGUCUGUAACUGACGCUGAGGCUCGAAAGCGUGGGGAGCAAACAGGAUUAGAUACCCCAGUAGUCCCUGUCUCUUAUACA
rnacentral:rRNA from 1 species